GGAGCCUACCCGGGUAGCCGGUAGCCACGGGCCUGGAAUCCAGCCUUGCAGGUAUUCUGGUAACAGGAUGCUUGAUGCGUAGGCAGAAGAAGGAGCGAAACGCAAUAGACUAAGAGUA
rfam:Deltaproteobacteria bacterium RBG_19FT_COMBO_46_12 rbg_19ft_combo_scaffold_8478, whole genome shotgun sequence.